GACGAACGCUGGCGGCGUGCCUAAUACAUGCAAGUCGAGCGAAUCGAUGGGAGCUUGCUCCCUGAGAUUAGCGGCGGACGGGUGAGUAACACGUGGGUAACCUGCCUGUAAGACUGGGAUAACUUCGGGAAACCGGAGCUAAUACCGGAUACUUUCUUUUCUCGCAUGAGGGAAGAUGGAAAGAUGGUUUCGGCUAUCACUUACAGAUGGACCCGCGGCGCAUUAGCUAGUUGGUGAGGUAACGGCUCACCAAGGCAACGAUGCGUAGCCGACCUGAGAGGGUGAUCGGCCACACUGGGACGGAGACACGGCCCAGACUCCUACGGGAGGCAGCAGUAGGGAAUCUUCCGCAAUGGACGAAAGUCUGACGGAGCAACGCCGCGUGAGCGAAGAAGGCCUUCGGGUCGUAAAGCUCUGUUGUUAGGGAAGAACAAGUACGAGAGUAACUGCUCGUACCUUGACGGUACCUAACCAGAAAGCCACGGCUAACUACGUGCCAGCAGCCGCCGUAAUAC
rnacentral:rRNA from 1 species